rnacentral:sRNA from 23 species
AAAACCAACUUUGAUCUUAUCGUUCCUAAAAGAAUUCCGCGUGACAUUUUUUACAAAAAAGCUUAUAUUUUAUUUCGCACAUAGAAAAGUGAAUUAAAUCUACAACUUGUGGAAAAACCUGUUGAAAAAUGGUUAAAAAGUGGAUAACUCAUGGGGAUCAUGAUAAAAACAGGGUUUUUUGGCUUAUUUUCUGAGUAUUAAUACUGCAUCAAUAAAUUAUUAAAUGUAGUUUAAUAAUCAAUAAAACUUACUGAAACAACAAUG